UACGUAGGGUGCGAGCGUUGUCCGGAAUUAUUGGGCGUAAAGAGCUCGUAGGCGGUCUGUCACGUCGGCUGUGAAAACCCGAGGCUCAACCUCGGGCCUGCAGUCGAUACGGGCAGACUAGAGUUCGGUAGGGGGAGACUGGAAUUCCUGGUGUAGCGGUGAAAUGCGCAGAUAGUCAGGAGGAACACCGGUGGCGAAGGCGGGUCUCUGGGCCGAAACUGACGCUGAGGAGCGAAAGCGUGGGGAGCGAACAGG
rnacentral:rRNA from 1 species